rnacentral:rRNA from 1 species
CCUGGAGACUCCGAGGCAGCAGUGGGGAAUAUUGCACAAUGGGCGCAAGCCUGAUGCAGCGACGCCGCGUGAGGGAUGACGGCCUUCGGGUUGUAAACCUCUGUUAGCAGGGAAGAAGAGAAAUUGACGGUACCUGCAGAGAAAGCGCCGGCUAACUACGUGCCAGCAGCCGCGGUAAUACGUAGGGCGCGAGCGUUGUCCGGAAUUAUUGGGCGUAAAGAGCUUGUAGGCGGUUUGUCGCGUCUGCUGUGAAAGGCCGGGGCUUAACCCCGUGUAUUGCAGUGGGUACGGGCAGACUAGAGUGCAGUAGGGGAGACUGGAACUCCUGGUGUAGCGGUGGAAUGCGCAGAUAUCAGGAAGAACACCGAUGGCGAAGGCAGGUCUCUGGGCUGUAACUGACGCUGAGAAGCGAAAGCAUGGGGAGCGAACAGGAUUAGAUACCCCUGUAGUCCGA